rnacentral:rRNA from 1 species
GAUGAACGCUGGCGGCGUGCCUAAUACAUGCAAGUCGAGCGAACGGACGAGAAGCUUGCUUCUCUGAUGUUAGCGGCGGACGGGUGAGUAACACGUGGAUAACCUACCUAUAAGACUGGGAUAACUUCGGGAAACCGGAGCUAAUACCGGAUAAUAUUUUGAACCGCAUGGUUCAAAAGUGAAAGACGGUCUUGCUGUCACUUAUAGAUGGAUCCGCGCUGCAUUAGCUAGUUGGUAAGGUAACGGCUUACCAAGGCAACGAUGCAUAGCCGACCUGAGAGGGUGAUCGGCCACACUGGAACGGAGACACGGUCCAGACUCCUACGGGAGGCAGCAGUAGGGAACCUUCCGCAAUGGGCGAAAGCCUGACGGAGCAACGCCGCGUGAGUGAUGAAGGUCUUCGGAUCGUAAAACUCUGUUAUUAGGGAAGAACAUAUGUGUAAGUAACUUUGCACAUCUUGACGGUACCUAAUCAGAAAGCCACGGCUAACUACGUG